AUCUUAAGCAAGGCGAUUGGAUGGUUUUUACUGCAAUGCAUCUUGGGAGUCGUAGUAAAUGGAUCUUUCAACUCACGGUCCAGCGAAUUUUUCAACUCGACACGAGGCAGAUCUUAGCUAGGUAAGUUGUGAUAAACUGUGGGUAAUUUGCAUGUUCACUGAAAUAUUAAUCAGCUGAUAUUAAACUUGAAAUGUUUUCACAGAGCAGUCUGUGUACCAAGAGAACUACUUCUGCAAAGAAAUUAUAAAGCAAAAACCAAACCAUGCCCUUCCUGUCAGGCUCCAAACACCUGCAACAGGAAGACAUGCAGUGGAUGCCUGGGCAGCCUGAACGUAAAGGUGGGAUUGAAAAACAAACAAACAAGAACAGCAACUGGGCUGCCUCUGUUAAAAAAAAACAGAAAUGCGAGCAGGGUGGUCAAUUCAGCCCAGUUAUCAGUAAGGUUUCAAAACUACAUGCCCUGGGCUUCCAGCCAAUUCUGUUUCUUGGACAGUUUGACCGAAAGGGCUGUAUAGUAGGGGACGUGAUCACAUAGAGCCAGCGGAUGGUGCUGCACGUGACAUCCUCAUGAAGAUGAGGAAACUUUAUGAACACCUUCUGAGAAAAUUACAAGCUUCACCUCCUGCUGAAAGUUCUACACCAGCAGCUGGACCAUCCUCUGCUGACAGUGUCGAUGCUGGACCAGUCCCCAGACCCAGAGGCUCUAAACGAGGAAUUUAUUCUUCAUUUAGAGCCUGAACCAACAUCUUCCCUCUGUCAGCCUCCUGUAUCCUCCUCUUCAUCUCUGCUUCCUCCUGCAUCCUCCUCUUCAUCUCCGCUUCCUGCAUUUCCCUCAAUUUCUACGGCGUACACCUCGGAUGUCCCAAACAAAAAAAGGACAAGGAAAGAUUAGAUGUUACGGUAUUGUAAAUAAUGCCAAAAACACUGUACACAGAAGAUUUUCAAAUAUGAAGAGAUAGUAGACAGGAGAGUUGUAAAUGAAAAAGAAGUUAAAGUCAAGUGGAAGCCCUGCUCGAUAUGGUAUGUAGUAACAACUUUGUUGGACCGGAACAGACAUUUAUAUUGUUGAUAAAUAGUUAUCACCUCAGUUUGAAUUCAUGUAUUUGGACUAAAGUAAAUUGGGAGCUUUUAGCUGAGGAGCUUGAUAGCAGUCCACCUCCAAAGUUCAUUAUGAGAUUUGGAGGUGGACAUGGUCAACACUUUUAAGAGUAGGCAUAAGACUUUACUUCUUUAUAGAGCUUAUAGUUAGGGCUGGUUCAGGUCAGCCUUUAGUUAUGCUGUCAUAGGACCAGACUGCUGUGGGUUAGUGUCCCCCCCCCCUCUCUCUCUUUCUUUCUCUCUCUCUCUCUCUCUUUCUCUCUCUCUCUGUGUGUCUGUCUCUUUCAGGGUUAUGCAGGCUCAGUAUUGGUUGAAGAUGCAGUCACAUCUCCUUUUACUAAAAACUCUCCCCCUCUCCCUCACCAUCUUGGCAAAGUGUGGGAUGACACAUGAGAAUCUGCGCAGUUUUACACACAGUAAACCAGAUCCCUGUGUGCGAUCGCACAGUUCAGUUUGUAGUUCAGCAUAAAAGUUCAAAAUAAAAUAUUUACUAUACAUUUCA